rnacentral:rRNA from 1 species
CCAGACUCCUACGGGAGGCAGCAGUGGGGAAUAUUGCACAAUGGGGGAAACCCUGAUGCAGCGACGCCGCGUGAGUGAAGAAGUAAUUCGUUACGUAAAGCUCUAUCAGCAGGGAAGAAAAUGACGGUACCUGAGUAAGAAGCCCCGGCUAACUACGUGCCAGCAGCCGCGGUAAUACGUAGGGGGCAAGCGUUAUCCGGAUUUACUGGGUGUAAAGGGAGCGCAGGCGGCGCGGUAAGUCUGAUGUGAAAGCCCGGGGCUCAACCCCGGGACUGCAUUGGAAACUGUCGUGCUGGAGUGUCGGAGGGGCAAGUGGAAUUCCUAGUGUAGCGGUGAAAUGCGUAGAUAUUAGGAGGAACACCAGUGGCGAAGGCGGCUUGCUGGACGACAACUGACGCUGAGGCUCGAAAGCGUGGGGAGCAAACAGGAUUAGAUACCCGAGUAC